CUUUAUGGUAGCUGUGCGCAGGGCGCCUUCGGGCGCGCCGGUUUCGAUUCUCCCCGGUCGACUAACCUGCGUACAGCUGCCACCUCU
rfam:Pseudomonas sp. TW4, complete genome.